rnacentral:rRNA from 1 species
GGUUUAAUUCGAUGAUAACGCGAGGAACCUUACCCGGGCUUGAACUGCAGGAGAACGAUUCAGAGAUGAUGAGGUCCUUCGGGACUCCUGUGGAGGUGCUGCAUGGUUGUCGUCAGCUCGUGCCGUGAGGUGUCGGCUUAAGUGCCAUAACGAGCGCAACCCCUCUCCGUAGUUGCCAUCGGGUGAUGCCGGGCACUCUGCGGACACUGCCACCGUAAGGUGUGA